UAAAAAUGCAAUUUUAGCUAGUGAAUGUGAAGCUGGUUGGUUUAGCCAACAGCAAUUUUUGUAAUUUCUCAUCUUGCUAGUUGUCCAUGAAUUUACACGCUCUGUGCUUUUAACGUUCUUCGUUUGUGCAGUUAAGAUACAGUUACAAUAUUUGCAUUUGUGUAUUCAUCCAGGACCAAAAUAGAAUAUUUGCUCUGAAGCACAUUUUUAGUACUGUAACAAGUCGCAUUGCAGAGCAAAUUCGAUAAUUAUCAUUCGCG
rnacentral:misc_RNA from 1 species